UACGGAGGGUGCAAGCGUUAUCCGGAUUUACUGGGCUUAAAGGGUGCGCAGGCGGAUAUGUAAGUCAGUGGUGAAAUCUCCGGGCUUAACCCGGAAACUGCCGUUGAUACUAUAUAUCUUGAAUGCUGUGGAGGUAAGCGGAAUAUGUCAUGUAGCGGUGAAAUGCUUAGAUAUGACAUAGAACACCUAUUGCGAAGGCAGCUUACUACACAGAUAUUGACGCUCAUGCACGAAAGCGUGGGGAUCAAACAGG
rnacentral:rRNA from 1 species